CAGGUGUGCUAAACCCCAGUAUCUGAGAGAGGUUUUAGGGGAUUUUAAAGGAGGAAGGAGGCAGAGAGAAUGAAUCUGAGCUUGGGGCCUGAGCUGCUGAAGGCAAAGCUGGUAAUGUUGCUGAAUCUGAAGAGAAACUUUUUCAUCCAGAAGAUGGUCCCUGUAUGGAAUGAGCUGGCAAAGGAAGUGGUUGAGGUAUUCAUCAAUGACCCAGAAAAUGUUCAGAAAAUAGAAAUUGUGGCAGCUGGAGGGACACUGAACAGAAUAUAAUAAAGUUUCACCUGAUCGGUUUUUUCCCGGUGGUCUGGUUCCCUCUCACAUUGGAAGAAUGUACAGAAGUUUCCUUCUUUCAACUGAAAACCGUGGUGGCAUUUUGCAGAAUCAAGUAUAAUGUCUAUAUUGCUGAACGUUAAUUAUAGAGGGACAGGAUGCAUCUUACUGAACAUCGUAUGCAAACUUUAAAUUUGUGCAGUCUCAUGUGGGAUUAAGUGCAAUCACAUCCCUGCAUUCUGCAGAGACAAGUGAAAGAUUAUGCAUUGCAUUGAACGGCGGCUGCUAAGUUAACAAAUUUCACAUCACAUGCCGAUGAUAAUAAACCUGAUUCUGAUUCUGAAUCUGAAAUUCCAUGUGUCUGCAACCACAGCAUCAUUGCUGUAUAUUUAUCAAUAGAACAAGGUUUCAUCUUAAUUUUGUUUUCCUUGAGGACUAUGAUGGGACAACUAAAACCAAAACUUAAUUGGCUUACACUUUGAAAUUGAUGGGACAUUGAAACCUGUCUGAAAUCUUGAGUGAAAUGUCAAGGAACAGGAUGAGUCCAGCUCUAAUCUUAGACACUUCAGAGAGAGGCUGGUGUCAUCAAGGUUAAGAAUAAAUGCAGAAUAAGAGAAAUUUGUAUUGGUAAAGUAAUGGUAUUGGAAAAAUUAAUGGGACUGAAAACUAGCAAAUCUUUUUGAAAAACUGUGUUCCAAGAUCUUACAAGAGUUGGCUCUGAAAAUAAUGGAUAUACUUAUUGUAUUUUCUAAAAAUCCCACAAAUUCUAGAAUUGCUUCCAUAGUUUAGAUGGGAGCAAACAUAAAAAAGGGAGAGAAGUGAAAUGUAUUUAAAAUACUCUUAAAUAACUGGUAUAAAAGUUGCUUGAAUUUAUUAAAGAUUCAAAGAUCCAAAUAUUCAAAGUACAUUUAUUAUAGAAGUAUGUGUGCAGAAUGCAACCUGAGAUUUGUCUUCCCACAGACAGCAAUGAAACAAAGAAACUACAUGCAACCCAUUUGAAGAAAAAUUUCAAACCCACAAUGCACAGUAAAGAACAAAUCACGCAAAUGGCAAAAACAAAUGACCAAAGUCACAUGUAAUCCUCUCACUGGGGCUCAUAUGCAAACCUGCCUUGAUAGAUAACUCUGAUAACAGCCACGUGACUCCACGGUGAGAGGGUCACCUUUAAAAUAAAAUGUGUCUAGGGUCAGUAUGAUUUGGGUUUCAACCAAACAGGAAAGUUAUGAUGUUCCGAUGAAAGGAACCUUGAUUUGAGUGAAUAACUGUUACUCAUGCUAUUAAAUUCUCAUCACCAUUUACCGGCAGAACUUCCUAUCCUGGACUCCUUCACCUCGCAAAGUAUUCCUUGCAUUACCGUCUUCCCAUUGGAUCGAAUCCUGCAGGCAUCUUCCCAAUCGUCUCCUCUCUGCAUCUCCCACCAAAAAGACCACAAACUAGACUACUGUCCAUCAAGAAUCACUCUCCGCCCAGCUCUCUCUUGAACCUUCUUUCCAUCCCACCAUCCUGAUUGGCUGACACAACAUUCCUAAUUCAUACAACAUGGCUCCUUAUCUUUAGCAGAAGCCAAAACACUCUCACCAGCAGAAUAUACUGCUUUUACAGAAGAGCCAGAGUUUUACACAUAGAAUAUAAAACACCAAACCAUUAAAGUCAUUGAAAGACUCCAGGCAUAUUCAAUCCAGCUCAGUUUGGCCAAACCCAGCACUGAGAGAUAUGUUAUCCUGAGGCCACAGAGUUAUUCCAUCCCAAUCAAAAUUGCACAAAAUAGCAACAAGAAAAGGAGAGACCAGAAACCAGAAACACAUCAUAAUGUGAACUAGAAUCCAAACAAUGUUGAUUAAACAUUGCCCAUGAGCCAAGUCUCCAGCACCAUCAAGCAAGAGGGAGCAGGAGACCAUCUGAAUGCAGGGAUCUUCCUCCAGGAGCGGUAGACAAGAGGCAGAAAGAAACUGUCACAUGCAGACACCUUCCUCCGGCAACAGUGAGCGAGAGGCUGGUAGACAACACUGAAUACCUGCUCACCCUCUGCUCUCACCUUGAUGAUUUCAAAAUUCCUCUAUGCUUUAAUCAGUGAGAAAUGGAAUCGAUCGUGGGUUUGCUCCCCAUCUCCAGGUUUGUAGGCCUUGAGCAAGAAGCCUGGAGAUGGGGUGCUUUGCUUGAAACCUCACAGAAACUGCUCUGAGACAACAAAUCACUCAAUCAGUCCGAAAACACACCACCAAAAUGUAGAUCAAAUGCUCCAAUGGUAGCAGAACCACAUUUGAAAGAAAAAGAAGUAAAAGAAGUGAAAGAAGCAGCUUCAUGAACUAACUGGAAGAUGCCCCCCUAGGUCACACUGUUCACUGGCGCCAACUUCUUCUGGUUUAUAAUCAGGACAAUAAUAAUUGUUUGGUCUGGGUGAAUAUGAAUUUAUGGAAGGGAAAUCAUGUUUGAAAAAUCUGUUUGUUCUCUGAAAACAGAUAAAUGAGAACAAAUGGAUACACUGAAACAUAUUAUAUAUCAGUAACAUGCAUGCAAAAAAAAGAAAUUACAUGGAAUUAAAGAUAAUAUACGAAUAUGGAUUGAGGAGUUGAAAGAGAGAGUAAGAAUAAAUGAGUCAAUUUCAGGUUGGGAGACUGUGGUGACCAGUGGUGUGCCACAGAAUUGGGUGCUGGAUUUCCUGCUGUUCACAAUCUAUAUUUCUAUGAGGGGCUGCAGUGCAAAGUGUUUCAAGUUCUCUGAUGAUCCAAAGCUGGAUGGCAGUGUAAAUGCUGAGGAAGAUGCAGAGCAGCAUGAGGAGAGAAACAUUAUCAAAGUUAAUGGAUGAGGAUAUACAUAAAGAGGAAAUAAGAAGCAGAUUAUUAAGUUUGUAAGUAGAGUCUCAGGGAAAGGUGACUGGAUGCAUGGACUAUAACCUUCUAUAUCUUUUCUCAUUAUUGCAUUUAUAACCACACUACCACCACUUUGGUGCACACACAGCCUUCUGACAACCAUUCAGUGAGACUGUGGUGACAUGAGAGCAUAAUUUGAACUAAGACUUUCUGAGCCCUAAGAAUCCUUCAAAGGAGUCCACAUUCUCUAAGUGAUCAGCCAGCCAUCAGCUUGUGUGCAGAUACUGAGGAAAUGUUGUCAACCUGACAAGAUUACAUGAAACGUAAGUGUAUGUAUGUGUGAUUUUGACUGAUAAAUUUGUAUGAAAACAUUUGGAAUGUUGCUUUGGUAUAUUUGUGGUUUCAUGAUUUGUGCCCAACUGGACAAUGAAAGUGAUGAUAUCAUAUUGAUUUCUUAUCAAUAAUGAGAUCUAAAUGUCUCUGGGAGUUUUAAUCAUCCCUUAUUGUCAUUGAAGGCAUAGCUCUCUCUGCAGUUCUUCCACUGUGUUAUAAAAUGGAUGCUGUAAACUGUCACAAUGUCUACACAGGAACAAUGGCAUGAAUUAUCAAUUUGAUCUGUGGUUUGAGGCUCCCUUACAGGUAGCAGAGUGUAUGGACAAUUGCUGGUUUCUCUUUUUAGUUGGUAAAGUUGAAACUUGUUACCAAAGAAUCCUGAAUAUGUUGCUGUCAUCUGCUUUGUCCAUGGUGAACUAUGCCGUGUUAAUGGACAGCAGUAAAUUAUCAGGGCAUGCGGUUUGGAAAUUAUCGGGGCAUUCAAGCAAGCUGCCUUAUUGGAGUUUUUCACAUGCUUGGAAUUGUGCUUAUGACCUUUAAAAUUUGUUAUGAUGGUUAGAUGUUCACUGACAGAAACAUAAACUCAUAGAACUGCAGGAGUAUGAAAUGAGGUGAAUAUUUUCCUCACUCCUUCUAGCCUCUGCCAUUUGUCUUCUAGUUCAGCGGUCCCCAACUACCAGGCCGUGGACCGGUACCGGGCCUCAAAGCAUGUGCUACAGGGCCGCGAGGAAACAAUAUGAUUUGGCAAUAUGAGUCAGCUACACCUUUCCUCAUUCCCUGUCAUGGCCACUGUUGGAACUUGAAUGCACGCAAGGUCAUUACCCGUGCGUCAUCCAUGUCAGUGCGGGAAGGAGAUCAACUCCUCGAGCUUGCAAAUGACGGUGGACUGAAAAGUACGUUUGACAUAACAUCUCUGCCGGCAUUCUGGAUCAAAGUCAAGGCUGAAUAUCCUGAGAUAGCCACAAAAGCACUGAAAACGUUGCUUCCAUUUCCAACAUAUAUCUGUGAAGCGGAGUUUUCUGCAAUGAAUGCAAUGAAAACUAAAUUGCAGAAUAGACUGGACAUAAGGAACUCCCUUCGAGUAUCGCUGUCUCCCAUCACCCCUCGAUGGCACCGUUUUGUUACAGGGAAACAAGUCCAGGGCUCCUACUGAUUCAGCGAUAUUGGUGUGGUGCAAUGAUUUUAUAUGUUUAUGAGGGGGAAAACAUGUGCUGUGUGUUUAAUAUCCAAACGUUACUUAAAAUGUUAUGAUGCUAUUGACUUAUAAGUGACUUAUAAUUGACUUAUCACUAUAUUCAUGUAAGGAAAAUAUGUGCUGUGUGUUUAAUAUUAAAUUCGUUAGAUAAACCCUUUUAGAAAUGAAAUGGAAAUGAAAUUAUCAUCUAUAUUCCGGUCAUGAUUAACACCCCCCCCCCCCGCCAACAGAAUCGCCAAAAACGAUUUGUAGGAAAAAAUCAGCACGGACGCGCAUGUGCAAAGUUGCCCGUGCAAGGCUUCAUAGUCAUAGUAGUCUUUCUCGGGGUAAGCUCAACGUAUUUGAUGGCUACUCUUGUCCGUUGGCAACCCUACCCUCCCACCGCACCCCCCCCCCCACAGGUCAGCCGGUCCGCAAGAAUAAUGUCAAUAUUAAAAUGGUCCGCAGUGCAAAAAAGGUUGGGGACCCCUGUUCUAGUUCACUCCAUUACUGAGAUUUUUCCACAUAGCCCUGAAAUACUCACCCCACCCCCCCACCCCUGGUAUCUAUUCAAUUUGUUUUCAUUCAAUAUGCAAUUAAUGAAAUAAUAUAUCAAAAAGCUUACUGGAGUAACAUGGGACCUGCCAACAUGAGCCUUCAAGAUAAACUUUAAAUGAGAGCAUAUAUUUCCUUGCAAGUAAUUCUACUGAGUGGUCAAUCUUGGCAUUUCUUCCCUCAAGUCCAGUUACACUUUGCACAAAUGAGUACUACUGUCUGCUCUGUCACCUCCUAUGGGAAAUUAUGUCUUCUUUUGGUAAUUAAGAUCUGAGAUGGAAUUCUACCCAUACAGAGUAAUUACAGCUCCUAAAAAUAUUCAGCAUUGAAAAAUUAAUGUAUAUUCUAAAGCAAGACACAAACAAAGAUCAAUUUUGAAUAUACCUGCUCAGUAUAUGCACUGAGUUGAUCACAAAGGAACACAAAGUAAUAUAAUGCAUCUCGGAAAAUGAAGCUUGGAAUGAUUGAAAGUAUUGCAACAAGAAAAAAAUGCAAGGUUCCUGACAAGAAUUUUAAAAUGACAUUAUUUCCCUACAAUGUGUAAAAUUAGCUACAUACAAAAGUGGAUUUUAUUACUUACAAAUAACCAGCUUUCUUAAGACUGGAAGGCGAGAAUUAGAUAUUAUGCCAAAGACUGAAGAUGCAAAAUUGAUUUUCAAGCUCUUUGCCCUGAGAAGUAUUUUGCAUUAAAAAUUUAGAAUAAUUGCAUAUUUUAAACUUUUAUAAUUAAUAGAUUUUCAAAUUGUGAACGAAACAAAACUUUCAAGAGACUGAUCAGAUCAUAACCAAAAGCCAUUGUCUUCAAUUACAACAAUUCCCAAUAUAGAGAGGCACUUUCUGGAUCCAUUGACAUAGUUAGAGAAUGGGGUAGAAAUUUUGUUAAUGCAUGAGCUUUGUAACAAGCAUGCCCUCCUUUAUCCAUCCACACAUAACAAUAUGAGAGCUUCUUAAAAUGGUAAAUAAAGUGAAUUCUCGUCCAAGAUUGCAGGUAUCCAAGUAUUAUCCAGACUCUCCGGUGAGUUAGAGGUUGGAAUUGCUCUGUACAGUUAGUAACACAGUUUUAAUGUGAUUAAAAAAUCUAUCACUAAU